rnacentral:rRNA from 1 species
UCGAGAAUCUUUAGCAAUGGGCGAAAGCCUGACUAUGCGACGCCGCGUGUGUGAUGAAGGUCUUCGGAUUGUAAAACACUGUCAGGCCGGACGAAGCCUUUGACAUCGAAUAGGUGUUAAAGGCGGACGGUACGGCCAAAGGAAGCCACGGCUAACUCCGUGCCAGCAGCCGCGGUAAUACGGAGGUGGCAAGCGUUACUCGGAUUUAUUGGGUGUAAAGGGUAUGUAGGUGGGUUUGUAAGUCAAAUGUGAAAUACCUUUGCUUAACGAAGGAAUUGCAUUUGAAACUGCUUACCUUGAGUAUCAGAGAGGAAAGGGGAAUUCCCGGUGUAAGGGUGAAAUCUGUAGAUAUCGGGAGGAACACCAGUGGCGAAGGCGCCUUUCUGGCUGAAUACUGACACUGAAAUACGAAAGCUACGGGAGCAAACAGG